rnacentral:lncRNA from 1 species
CGCUGGAGGAGGGAGGGCGCGCGGGAACCCGGCCCGGCCGUACCCCGCCGGCCUGCCGACCCGGGUCCGGGGGCCCAGUUGGCGCCCGGACCAGCUCUCCGGUCUGCGUCCUGUAGAUGGGAAAACUGAGGCCUGAGAGGGCGCGAGGGCGGGGACGAGGCCGAGGACUCGGGUUCGAAUCUCGAGGACGCCAGUAGCCCGCUCUGAGGCCGCGUGGGGCUGGUGGAGGAGCCACCGGUCGGGCCCCCAAGACCGGCUGACGUGGGCCUCGCCUCGGGCGACUCCCGCCGGGCUAGUGGCUGGCCGUGUGGUGACCUUGGGCGAGUUACUUCGCACAGCCACCCAGGGGCCUCUUCUCCAACACGAUAGCACUGCACCCGGAGGCCUUCCACCACGUGAUGACACAAGAAGGUCCUUGUACGAUGUUGGCACCUUGAUCUUGGACUUCCCAUCCUCCAGAACACUGCAUAAUAUUUCAUUGUAUGGAUAAACUACACAGUUCCCAGUGAUGAAGACCAAGAUUGUUCCCAAUCUGUUUGCUAUUAUAAACAGUGUUGCAACAAACAGGCUUUGUGUGUAUCAUUUCAUAUGAGUACAAGAGUUUCUGUAGACUUGACAAUAAAAAGAUAACCCAAUUGAAAAAACA